CCAAAACCCAGAUAGAACAUGAGCUCGGCCCUACUGCCAAGUCGAAUUGGAGAUGGGUCCGAAGAUGGAAUGUGAUUUGGAGAUGGGAGCACGCAUGGAUCUUCAACUAGAGGAAAUCUCUCAACACUUAGAAGCUUGAAAUUUGCUGUUGUGCUUCCCUGUGAGAAAUUGGUGGUUGUGACAGAAGUAUUAGCUAGAGCUUAGCCUUAGCGUGCAUUGGGUGGGCACUCAAUUCAAAGACUCCGUCGUAUUCUGGGUGAGUGGUAGGUUCAAGCAGGACAAGUGAUUGUAGUCACAGUAGUUUUAAAGUCUCGAAGCUUUAUUUUGAGGAUUCGGUGAAGCAUGUAGCUUUGAGUUUCUUUAUGGUUUGAAACUGCUACAGAGACGCUGCUGCCAGGAUUUGAGAGAGCAAGGCUUGUUGCUGCUACAAUAUAGGAAGGCCCGCUGCUGGGAUUUGAAAGCGCAAGGCCUACACCAGAAGCGCCACUACGAUAUGUUCAUCGGGACGCUGCCCGACAUGUUCAUCGGGACGCUGCCCGGCAUGUUGGUUUUGACAUCAUUGACACCCGAAGGUGCCGCUGUGAGGAGGGCCUGCAACAGAAAAGAGAAGGUGGUGAAGAGCUAUGGAAUGAGGUCCUGAACCUUUUGUCUUCCAAGAUCCUUUGCUGCUUUCUCCUUAUGCUUUUCCACCCUUGCUGUGCUCCGUUGCGUCCUCCUGUGCCUCUUCACGUUGCGGCCUUCUCCCCCCUUUUUCUUUUCAUGUGGUGCUUAUAUACUGCACUAGAGAUGAGUUUGGCUUGUGUACCACGUUGAAAGUUUUAGAGUUCAACUUGAAGUGAAAUGGCUGGA